AGUAUUUAUCUGCCCCUGGCUGCCAGUCAUGCAGCCCUUGAUGGCUUGCCAAAACUCAGUAAGUGGCCCUCCGCCCAAACUAAUUGCCCGCUCCUGCAUUAGAAGAUGUAAUGGUAUGUUUUUGG